GAGAGAGGGAGAGAGAGGAGAAAGAGAGAGAACUUGACCAAUAUCUGAUUCGAUUAGAUCUAAAUUGAUCUCUCAAUGACCAACUUAGACUGCCUAGAUUGAGGCCCUUGAUUUGGAUCUAAAUCUAGUAGAUCCAAUCCAAAAAUCUAACUGACCUAGAUCAAGUAUCUCUCCUUCUUGUGUUGGUCAAGUUAGAUCAAAUAGAUCGAAUUUUGAUUGCUCUUUUCUUUGUAUCUCUACUGAUUGAUCAGAUCGAGCCUAAUUAGUCUAAUUUUUAAUUGAUCAAUGAGAUAGAUCUAAUCCAAAAUUUUGAUCUACAUUGAAAGGAGUAUGGAUCUGAGAAUCAUGCCAUGUGGCAAAGAUCGUGACUUUUGGAUUCGACUAAUGGGCGCUGGAGUCGACAGUAAGGCGGGCUUUUCGGGGGCACGACCUACACAAAAGUCCUAAUCGGAGAUGGCUCCGACGAGGAUCCUUCGACGCUCAAGUCAUAACUCUCAUUCAACAAAAGGAGGAGCAUGAGAGGCAGAAUAAUGGAGUACCUUUUUGAGGGUCAUCUUUGAAUCUCUUUUAAGGAGGGAGAGUCGGAGCAUUAGUUGGCAAGUUGGUUGGCGCAAUCCCAUGAUUCGCGGGGUGUGAGGUUAGCGCUCGAAAUUUUUGGGAUAUUGUAGUUGUGGUUGCCAUAUCCAUUCCACGAUAGCUGUUGCUUGGCAGACACUAUAUUUUAAAGUUAGUUGCCAACUGAGGGUUGUCGAGAUGAGGGUUGGUUGGUGACGACUAACAGUCGACCGUCCUAUGCCAUCAUCAAGGUUUGUUCAGUGACGUAUGAUUGAUCGAUCGACGAGGGGUCAUUGGCAGUAAUGUACAGAGAUCGUCAAGUAGCCAUCAAUGGGCUUUUAUUUGCUCAAGAGGCAAAGCUCUGGUCAGGCAAUUGCAGAAGACUAGUUUGGCGAAGAUAGCGACCGAUCUUGAGUCGGCGAAAAUAGUGGCCGACCUUAAGUCGGUGAAGGUUCCUGUUAACGGGCCUGCUAAGUGCGGACAUUUUGGAUCCUGGGUCUUUUUAUAUAAUCGGCCCAUGCAGAAUUUUUUCUAACACAUGCCCUCUACUUUUGAGUUCGAUUUUAGUUGGACGAAGGGAGUACACCUGUCUUUCUUAGGCUAAAGAUGUGAAAAGACCCUUCAAUUGAUGGGACGUGCAUGACUUGAGUCAUCAUGAUGAAAUUAAAUGGACAUCAUUUUACCAUCUAUUUUUUAAAUUAUAGCAUCAAUUUACGUAACUGAUGGCUGCGACCGACCGAAUGAAGAGAUGCCACAUAUGCCACUUCUUGUGACUUGUUAGGAAGAAAAUGAUUCGAUAUCUAGAUGUUAUCUUCUCUUGGCUAUAAAUAGAAGAGGUGUCUGUCCUUGGCUUUUUCGAUUGCUGCCAGACUCUUCAAUUCUCCUUUUCUCUUACUCAUUAUUAUAGCUUCAUGGGACAAGGGGCCUUCCAUCUUCCUCCACGGUGUGACUCUUCAAAGGAGUUUUUGAAGAUUUCGAUGACUACUUCACUUCUAUUGUCUCCUUCCUUCGUUCUCAGGUCGGUUUUCCUUCUCACCCAUUUAUUUUUCUAUUCUUUCCUUCUUUCUUUAAAUAUCCUUUUGGUUCUUUUAUUAGGGAAUGGCAGAGCAAAGCGAGCUAGGUCCCAGCAAUUAUAGUUUUGUGUUGAAUCCAAACGAUUUGAGUCGGAUAUGGAUUUGAUAUGGGAUUCUUUCAGACUUUAAUAUUGGGCUUCCUAGGAUAGACGAAUGUAUAGAUAAUCUGCCCUCCAGUCGGCUCGCCGUAUAUGAGAAAGCACUCCAGGCAGGCUUAAGAUUUUCUGUUCAGUCUUUCAUCUUUGAUAUCUUUUGUUUCUAUGAUUUUUUCUUUUGUGCCAUUCUUCUGAACUCCUUUAGGUUUGUGGCAGAUUUUUUGAUCCUUUGUAUUAUGGCUAAUAUUCAGCCAUUUGUUGAUCUCUUCCGCUCUUUUUUUAUCAUCAAAAGGCAUCCUUACUCCAAAAAUUGAUCGUACUUUUCUUUCCAAAGGAAGAUUUCUCCUCUGAUCAAGGGCGCUCCAUCUUUCGUUCACAAGUGGAAGGAGCGAUUCUUGCUAGUGUCCAGCCCUACAGUGGAGGACUGGGACUUAUCGAGCUAGGAUCAGCCAAAGACUUUAGCAUUCAAGAUUUCAAGACUGGGGGUCAAGGAAGAGAGUCACUUUAAGGUCCUCAGAGAGUUCAAGGCUCCCUCGGCUAACGAAUUGAUAUCUGAUGAGGUCCCUUUUAAUGCUGGACUCAGUCAGAUUGACUUCAGGGAUGAGUAUUGUAGUUGUCCACCUUACUCAUCUUUUUUUUAAAAGCUGCUGAUCAAGUUCAGCUGUUUGCAAAGAUGAGAUUGGAAGAUAUCGCCAAAAUAAAGUAGAACCUCCCGAAGAAGAGGAAGGCUCCUAUACCUAAAGGUGCCUCUAAGUGGCUGGUGACCCGUCGAGGAAAGACCACGAACGAGCACAGCUCAAGGACUGGGGCCACGGUUGUUUUGGUGACUCCCACUCCUCUAAGUCCGACUCUAAUGGCUCCAGCUCCAAUAUCUGCACUCGCUCUAGCGCCAACAUCUCCACCGCCUGAGGUUCCCUUGCUUGCUGCUCCGAUGCCUCCUCAUGGGAUUCAGUCCUCUUCCACUCAGCUUCCCAUUGCUACAAGCCAAUGCAGCAUGCCUCCUCCUUUUAGUGAAACAGAUCCUCAUGUCCGUCUUAUCUCCAUUCCUGAGGCUGCAACUUUUGAUGAUUGAAGAGUUAUCAAAGAAUUAACCAAGAGAUCGAUGCUUCCCAUGGAGCUGAAGGGUGUCAUUGACAUGAGCUUCGACGACCUAUAGCGGUACUCCAUGACUACCGUGUAUCAGGUACUUUAUUUUUUAGUUAACACCUUGAAUCGUAUACGCAAGGUAGAAAUCCACAGACCUUUGCAUCGAAAGGCCGAAUCUAAUGUCGUAAAGGUAUGCAUGCAUGUCGAUGCGAUCAAGGCAGAGGCCGAUAAGUUGAGAAAAUUUCUUAACAAAGUUUUCGUCGAGCUUGCACAAAAAGGAGAGGAACUUCAGGUGGCCAAAACAAAGCUCAUCGAGGUCGAGCAGAAGGCUAGGGAGUAGGCCAAGGCCAAAGAGCAGGUCAAGGAUCAGGUCGCCAAGGCCAAGCGGGAGGCUGAAGAGAGGGUUGCUGAGGCCUAUCGAUCGGCUAUGGAAUCUUUUAAGGCCUCAGAGGAUUUCAAGCAUGAGAUGGCCCAGACGAUUGAUGGCUAUAAGGCGUUGGAGGAAUACCACGAUGCCUUGAUCGAAUACGAUCAAGGGUCCUUCAAUGCAGGACACGAGAUCAGGUUUGAAGAUUGCUACCGUCUGGUUGCUGCUUGACUUUCUGAGAUCAAUCUCUUCUUUUUGGAUGAGGAUGAAGGUGAUGUGGAGGCCACAGAGGAGGCAGCUCCUCCCAGAUCUACGAUUGCUGAGCAGCAGGUGAGGAGUGGGGAGGCAGUGAUUGAAGCUCCUUCACUGUCUGCUAUCGAUCCGUUAGGAGUAUCUUCGAGUCCCCCAGAAGUCAUGUCCGAUCCUUCCGAUCUUCAAGAUGAGGUUGGAAAAUAAAUAUUCCUUCUAGCUUUUUCUCUUUCUUAUUUACAUAUAGAAAAGUUGUCAUCGAUGAAACAAUAUUUCAUCCUUGUUAUAUAUUUCUUUGCUUGUCCAGUUACAUUCGUACGCUCUUAUCGAAUAUACCCCUUCAGUUCCUAUUAUCAAGCUUUUAUUGGUGGCAUCUACAGUAAGGAUCAGGUCCCGUAUAGGUGAUCUUGAAAAAAAUAUUAAAAAAUUAAAUAAGAAGGCUAUUAUCGGAAAGAAGAAACUAUCGAAGACUAGGAAAGCUCUAGACGAGGCCUCCAUAAAAGUCGAUCGAUUGAGGAUGAUCAACCAUUGGAGUGUCGUGACGUAUUCUGUUGAGAAAGCUCGACUGGCAGCUGAGUCUGCAAGGCUAUCCAAGCUCAUAGAGGAUGCCACUUGGGGCGCUACUGUCAGGCAGUAGGACCUCCAUCUUUGACUUCGUUGGUCUCAGGAUAGGAUCUCGAAACUGGAGUCGUCGGAGGCUCCUGCUAAAGAGGUGAGAAAAUGUUCUGUCGAUCAUAUGGUGCAGCUUCAGAAGGAUCUCCAUGUCACCUAAGAGAAGAUCUCUAAACUUGAGUACUCAGGCAAUGUGGUCGUCAAAUAUAGGUUGAGGAAAAAUCGACAGACAGUCACAAAAAUCGAGGUGUGUUGGGAGAAAUUCUGCAUGGGCUGAUUAUAUAAAAAGAUCUAGAAUCUCAAAUAUUUGCACUUAGCAAGUCCAUCAACAGGAACCUUCGCUUACUCAAGGUCAGCCACUAUCUU